AGCUUUGCACAGUGACAGUAUCAUAGCCAAUGAGGUUUAUCUGAGGCGCGAUUAUUGCUAAUUGAAAAUUUUUCCUUUUCCCACCUCUCUCCUUCUUUUCUCUAAAAGUAUAAAACUUGGUGUAAUUCCUCAUGUUCGAAAAGUA
rnacentral:snRNA from 1 species